rnacentral:rRNA from 1 species
AUUGACGGACUGAAGGCUCUUUCUCGAUUCCGGUGGAAAGUGGUGCAUGGCCGUUUUUGGUUGGUGGAUCGAUCCGUCUGGUUAAUUCCGUUAACGAACGAGACCUCGGCACUCCGAAUAGCGCGGCGGACGUCGCGGCCUCCGGGCCGUCUUCCGCACGAGCUUCUUAGAGGGACCGUCCCCCGCCGGGGAAGGAGGUGCGAGGCAACGACAGGUCUGUGAUGCCCUUAGAUGUUCUGGGCCGCACGCGCAUUACACUGACGCGUCCAACGGGUGACUCCCGACCCGAAGGGGCCGGGGAAUCCGCAAGGCGCGUCGUGAUGGGGAUUGAACGUUGCAAUUGUUGUUCACGAACGAGGAAUUCCUAGUAGGCGCGGGUCAUCAACCCGCGCCGAUUACGUCCCUGCCCUUUGUACACACCGCCC